GGGCCCGCACAAGCGGUGGAGUAUGUGGUUUAAUUCGAUGAUACGCGAAGAACCUUACCUGGGCUCUAAUGCGAGUGACCGCUCCUGAAAGGGAGCUUUCCUUCGGGACACGAAGCAAGGUGCUGCAUGGUUGUCGUCAGCUCGUGCCGUGAGGUGUUGGGUUAAGUCCCGCAACGAGCGCAACCCCUAUCUUUAGUUGCCAGCGAUUCGGUCGGGGACUCUAGAGAGACUGCCUGCGCAAGCAGAGAGGAAGGCGGGGACGACGUCAAAUCAUCAUGGCCCUUACGGCCUGGGCUACACACGUGCUACAAUGGCUAGGACAGACGGCCGCAAACCCGCGAGGGGAGCCAAUCCGACAAACCUAGUCGUAGUCCGGAUCGGAGUCUGCAACUCGACUCCGUGAAGUCGGAAUUGCUAG
rnacentral:rRNA from 1 species